rnacentral:tRNA from 1 species
GCGCCCAUAGCUUAACUGGUAAAGCAACCGACUCUUAAUCGGUAGAUGUGCAGGUUCGAUCCCUGCUGGGCGCA